rnacentral:rRNA from 1 species
GCUUAAUACAUGCAAGUCGAGGGGCAGCACAGGUAGCAAUACUGGGUGGCGACCGGCAAAACGGGUGCGGAACACGUACGCAACCUUCCCAUAACUGGUGAAUAGCCUUUCGAAAGAGAGAUUAAUACACCGUAACAUAAUGAAGAGGCAUCUUUUUAUUAUUAUAGAGGCAACUCGGUUUUGGAUGGGCGUGCGCCUGAUUAGGUAGUUGGCGGGGUAACGGCCCACCAAGCCUGCGAUCAGUAACUGGUGUGAGAGCACGACCAGUCACACGGGCACUGAGACACGGGCCCGACUCCUACGGGAGGCAGCAGUAAGGAAUAUUGGCCAAUGGACGCAAGUCUGAACCAGCCAUGCCGCGUGAAGGAUUAAGGCCCUCUGGGUUGUAAACUUCUUUUAUCUGGGACGAAAAACGGGUAUUCUUACUCACUUGACGGUACCAGAGGAAUAAGCACCGGCUAACUCCGUGCCAGCAGCCGCGGUAAUACGGAGGGUGCAAGCGUUAUCCGGAUUUACUGGGUUUAAAGGGUGCGUAGGUGGGUCUGUAAGUCAGUGGUGAAAUCUCCGGGCUUAACCCGGAAACUGCCAUUGAUACUAUAGGUCUUGAAUUAUCUGGAGGUGAGCGGAAUAUGUCAUGUAGCGGUGAAAUGCUUAGAUAUGACAUAGAACACCAAUUGCGAAGGCAGCUCACUACGGAUGUAUUGACACUGAGGCACGAAAGCGUGGGGAUCAAACAGGAUUAGAUACCCUGGUAGUCCACGCCCUAAACGAUGGAUACUCGACUAUUUGCGAUAUAC